rnacentral:rRNA from 1 species
UACGAAGGGGGCUAGCGUUGCUCGGAAUCACUGGGCGUAAAGGGUGCGUAGGCGGGUUUUUAAGUCAGGGGUGAAAUCCUGGAGCUCAACUCCAGAACUGCCUUUGAUACUGAAGAUCUUGAGUCCGGGAGAGGUGAGUGGAACUGCGAGUGUAGAGGUGAAAUUCGUAGAUAUUCGCAAGAACACCAGUGGCGAAGGCGGCUCACUGGCCCGGUACUAACGCUGAGGCACGAAAGCGUGGGGAGCAAACAGG